rfam:Desulfovibrio alaskensis G20, complete genome.
GCGCCCGUAGCUCAGUUGGAUAGAGCACAUGGCUACGAACCAUGCGGUCGGAGGUUCGAAUCCUUUCGGGCGCG